rnacentral:rRNA from 1 species
GACGAACGCUGGCGGCGUGCCUAAUACAUGCAAGUCGAGCGAAGCGGCGGAUGGGUGAGUAACGCGUGGGUAACCUGCACUUAAGUCUGGGAUACCAUUUGGAAACAGAUGCUAAUACCGGAUACUAAAGGAUGGACCUGCGAUGCAUUAGAUAGUUGGUAAGGUAACGGCUUACCAAGGCGAGGAUGCAUAGCCUGGUUGCGAUACUGAUCAGCCCCAUUGGGACUGAGACACGGCCCAAACUCCUACGGUAGGCAGCAGUAGGGAAUCGUCCACAAUGGACGAAAGUCUGAUGGGGCAACGCCGCGUGAGUGAAGCAGGUUUUCGGAUCGUAAAGCUCUGUUGUUGGUGAAGCGGUAAUCAACCAGAAAGUCACGGCUAACUACGUGCCAGCAGCCGCGGUAAUUC